AAGCAGAGCGCCGCGGCCACGGCCGUCCAAGCCCGGCAGGAUCCACGCCCGCGAAGCGCCAGCAUCUUCGCCGACCGAAGCAACCUGCGGGAUGAGGAGGAGGAGGAGGAGGAAGAGGAAGGCAGGCAAGGCAGGCAACCCGUCCUUUCCAAGAAGGCACCCAAUUUGCACCACUCAGGUGACCACUGAGGAUACAAGUCAACCUCCAGGUGACCUUCUCGAGCCGCUAAAAGGAUGCAAAAGGUCCAGCUGUCUGCAAGGAGUAUCAGUCCUUCCAUGCCCCGCCAUCCCAGUCAGAGCUGAAGAAGCUUCUUGGAUGAGAAGCGAAAGGUCUUCAAAGAAAAAUCAAGAAAGUCCAAUUUGAAAAAAAGCACUUUUGGGAACGGGGCUCAUUGGACGUUAGGUAUGUGGGGAGUGAGUGAGGGGAAAUGUAUUUUUGACAAUAAAUGAAUGGUUUUCCAAA